UAUUUUUUUUUAUUUUUUUUAUUUUUUUAGGAAGAUUACAGCCUUUAAUCUCCUCAAAAUAAAUGUGCAUAUAAACCAUGAACAAUUUAAUUAUAGCUGUAUUUAUAAAAUGCUUACUAAUGACUAUUAAUUUUGGGAGUAGGCUAGCAACAGUUGAUGUUGAGGCCUAAGAUAUUUCUUAAGCUGUAAUGAUGAAAAAACAACAACAACACAAAAUUGCUUUGUUUUCUGCUGGUGAUUAAAGAGAUGAUUAAGUCUCCCUCCCUCUCUCUCUCUCUCUCUCUCUCUGACACCAAGCCCAUCCCCUCUCCCACACAUUCACACAAACUCAGCACACACACUUAACACACACACACUUAACACACAAACACACACACACACACACACACACACAUUACCCAGAGGGACAGAGUGAUAUCAGAUGUAUGGUAGUUUUUUAAUUUUCUAUCAUCCAUAUAGUGUUGUAUAGUCAUGAAACUAUGCAUAUUUCCUCAGCAUGACUUGUCUUCUAUGUGUACAUUUUGUUGAAGUGUUUAGAAGCUGCACUUAAAAAAAUAAAAGACAUUUACUGGUUCCUUUUUUACUGUUAUUUCAAAAAAUCACCACGCAAAAUCAUUCAAGCUAUCCAAAAUUCAUUCGUACCUGUUCUGUAAGAUUAAUCCUUUAAACAGUGGUAAAAGAGGAUGUGGUGCUGAUCCUUCAAGAGUCACUCCAAACUUAUCGGUCCAUAAAGCCUAUAAAGAAUUAUUCUUAAUACACAGUAUUUCACAAUACUUCAGCAUAUUAUUCUAGUUAAGUGAGGGUCAUUUUAUCAGUAAAAUACAUAUUAUUUUUCUUUGAAAGAUUUCUAUAAAUGAUUUAAAUCAUACUUGUUUCUACAAUAAUUAUUUAAAAGUAAUCAUAUAGCGCCAUCUGGUGGCCAUUAUUGGUACUAAGAAUUGCAAGCUUGAUUUAUAAGUUAUGAUAGUUUUAAUUUUAAGCUGGCUCUUGAAAAUGAUAAAGCUAUGAAACUUACUGUGCUUCUUUCAAAUGAUGACUUCUACGUAUAUAAAAAAUUAUGAAGAGUUGGAAUGAAGAAUGUUAAAGAUAUAGUAAAAUAACUAUUGUAUUUUUUUAUGUUACUUUAAUAAAUCGGUAUGGCCACACCAUUUAAGGUAUCCUUAACCCAUUCACAAUUUAACAUCUUCAGUAUAUUGGCAUCAUGUUGAAAAAGUUUGGUGUGAACUACUUGUGUCUUCUUGGAGGAGUAUGAUUCAUUUACAGGCUGAGUUUAUCAUAAAUCCACAAUAAAAUUUCUGAGUUCUGUA